rnacentral:rRNA from 1 species
AACCUCCGCAAUGUGAGAAAUCGCGACGGGGGGAUCCCAAGUGCCAUUCUUAACGGGAUGGCUUUUCAUUAGUGUAAAGAGCUUUUGGAAUAAGAGCUGGGCAAGACCGGUGCCAGCCGCCGCGGUAACACCGGCAGCUCUAGUGGUAGCAAUUUUUAUUGGGCCUAAAGCGUCCGUAGCCGGUUUAAUAAGUCUCUGGUGAAAUCCUGCAGCUUAACUGUGGGAAUUGCUGGAGAUACUAUUAGACUUGAGAUCGGGAGAGGUUAGAGGUACUCCCAGGGUAGAGGUGAAAUUCUGUAAUCCUGGGAGGACCACCUGUGGCGAAGGCGGCUAACUGGAACGAACCUGACGGUGAGGGACGAAAGCUAGGGGCGCGAACCGGAUUAGAUACCCGGGUAGUCCUAGCCGUAAACGAUGCGGACUUGGUGUUGGGAUGGCUUUGAGCCGCUCCGGUGCCGAAGGGAAGCUGUUAAGUCCGCCGCCUGGGAAGUACGGUCGCAAGACUGAAACUUAAAGGAAUU